rnacentral:rRNA from 1 species
UGGGGAAUUUUGGACAAUGGGCGCAAGCCUGAUCCAGCCAUGCCGCGUGCGGGAAGAAGGCCUUCGGGUUGUAAACCGCUUUUGUCAGGGAAGAAAUCUUCUGAGUUAAUACCUCGGGAGGAUGACGGUACCUGAAGAAUAAGCACCGGCUAACUACGUGCCAGCAGCCGCGGUAAUACGUAGGGUGCAAGCGUUAAUCGGAAUUACUGGGCGUAAAGCGUGCGCAGGCGGUUUUGUAAGACAGAGGUGAAAUCCCCGGGCUCAACCUGGGAACUGCCUUUGUGACUGCAAGGCUUGAGUGCGGCAGAGGGGGGAUGGAAUUCCGCGUGUAGCAGUGAAAUGCGUAGAUAUGCGGAGGAACACCGAUGGCGAAGGCAAUCCCCUGGGCCUGCACUGACGCUCAUGCACGAAAGCGUGGGGAGCAAACAGGAUUAGAUACCCCUGGUAGUCCACGCCCUAAACGAUGUCAACUGGUUGUUGGGAAGGUUCCUUCUCAGUAACGUAGCUAACGCGUGAAGUUGACCGCCUGGGGAGUACGGCCGCAAGGUUGAAACUUAAAUGAAUUGACGGGGUCAUAGCUGUUUCCUG